rnacentral:rRNA from 1 species
UUGAACGCUGGCGGCAUGCUUUACACAUGCAAGUCGAACGGUAACAGGCCUUCGGGUGCUGACGAGUGGCGAACGGGUGAGUAAUAUAUCGGAACGUACCCUGUCGUGGGGGAUAACACAGCGAAAGCUGUGCUAAUACCGCAUACGACCUGAGGGUGAAAGCGGGGGAUCGCAAGACCUCGCGCGAUAGGAGCGGCCGAUAUCGGAUUAGCUAGUUGGUGAGGUAAAGGCUCACCAAGGCGACGAUCCGUAGCGGGUCUGAGAGGACGACCCGCCACACUGGAACUGAGACACGGUCCAGACUCCUACGGGAGGCAGCAGUGGGGAAUUUUGGACAAUGGGGGCAACCCUGAUCCAGCCAUUCCGCGUGAGUGAAGAAGGCCUUCGGGUUGUAAAGCUCUUUCAGCAGGAACGAAACGGUGGCCCCUAAUACGGGCUACUAAUGACGGUACCUGAAGAAGAAGCACCGGCUAACUACGU